rnacentral:rRNA from 1 species
GACGAACGCUGGCGGCGUGCUUAACACAUGCAAGUCGAACGGAAAGGCCCUGCUUUUGUGGGGUGCUCGAGUGGCGAACGGGUGAGUAACACGUGAGUAACCUGCCCUUGACUUUGGGAUAACUUCAGGAAACUGGGGCUAAUACCGGAUAGGAGCUCCUGCUGCAUGGUGGGGGUUGGAAAGUUUCGGCGGUUGGGGAUGGACUGGCGGCUUAUCAGCUUGUUGGUGGGGUAGUGGCUUACCAAGGCUUUGACGGGUAGCCGGCCUGAGAGGGUGACCGGCCACAUUGGGACUGAGAUACGGCCCAGACUCCUACGGGAGGCAGCAGUGGGGAAUAUUGCACAAUGGGCGGAAGCCUGAUGCAGCAACGCCGCGUGCGGGAUGACGGCCUUCGGGUUGUAAACCGCUUUCGCCUGUGACGAAGCGUGAGUGACGGUAAUGGGUAAAGAAGCACCGGCUAACUACGU